rnacentral:rRNA from 1 species
AUUGAACGCUGGCGGCAGGCCUAACACAUGCAAGUCGAGCGGAUGAAGGGAGCUUGCUCCUGGAUUCAGCGGCAGACGGGUGAGUAAUGCCUAGGAAUCUGCCUGGUAGUGGGGGAUAACGUCCGGAAACGGGCGCUAAUACCGCAUACGUCCUGAGGGAGAAAGUGGGGGAUCUUCGGACCUCACGCUAUCAGAUGAGCCUAGGUCGGAUUAGCUAGUUGGUGGGGUAAAGGCCUACCAAGGAGACGAUCCGUAACUGGUCUGAGAGGAUGAUCAGUCACACUGGAACUGAGACACGGUCCAGACUCCUACGGGAGGCAGCAGUGGGGAAUAUUGGACAAUGGGCGAAAGCCUGAUCCAGCCAUGCCGCGUGUGUGAAGAAGGUCUUCGGAUUGUAAAGCACUUUAAGUUGGGGGGAAGGGCAGUAAGUUAAUACCUUGCUGUUUUGACGUUACCAACAGAAUAAGCACCGGCUAACUUCGUG